CAGCUAGCAGCCUAGUUGUUCUUGUAGCUGUUGAACUUAACCUGUCUUUGUCUUCACUGUAUACAUGCCUUACGAAGUAAUCAUUAACAAAGUUACCUCAUACUCAAAUUACUGCCUGCUAUUUUUACCGUAGAGUUUGCUUUCCUCCAAUAGCAACCUGGGUGAAUAGUGCUUGGUGAAUGAGGCAGCUUUUCACCAAGCUCUUCACUCUUCACAUUUCAUUUUCUCAGCGUUAGUUAUAUUGUGGCAAUAGGCCUCAUUUUGAUUUCAACUACCACAGUGUCUGAAUGUCAGGAAAACUAACGCCACAAACCAUGCAUCUUGGUCUCCUACCAUCACAUGAGAGGAAACCUGGAUGAUUUGUCUAAGCAGCUGCUGAGGAGAGACAUAUCCAGAGCACUGAUAAUUUAUCACAAUGGAUAUCUUUAGAGAAGAAAACUUUUGUCCAACAUUAGUGAUUUAGAACAACCCUGACACAGUUCAUAUACAUAUCCACUGUCCAUUAAUCUUUUUGUUUCACUUUUUCUGUCAUGUAUACUAUCCAGAGCUGCUGCAAAUUACAGGUAGUAUGUCCAGCAUUUUUUCCCUUGAUUUUUUCUUUUUAUGUUCAUGAUGAUAGUGUGAAGCAAUUUAUAAUGAAAAUAUGUAGCAAAAGAAAAACUUAAAGGACGUUUUUAUGGAACAUGUCAAAAACUUCACAGUUUAACCUGGAUAGCAGUAACCGUGAAGUCAUUGCCAUACCCAUGGCAUAUUUUAGUGGUCUGUCUACAGAAUAGUUAAGGGAAAAGGAUUUUAUUUUAGCUUCCCACUUUUCAAGAAACAGCGGAAAUAAGAAAUAAAAAUCUGAGCUUUGGAGAGUACCAUUAUGAUCACCUCCCUGUAAACAUAACAGCAAUU
ensembl:lncRNA